GCAUAUCAAUAAGCGGAGGAAAAGAAACCAACAGGGAUUGCCCUAGUAACGGCGAGUGAAGCGGCAACAGCUCAAAUUUGAAAUCUGGCUUCGGCCCGAGUUGUAAUUUGUAGAGGAUGCUUUGGGCGCGGCUCUAACUGAGUUCCCUGGAACGGGACGCCACAGAGGGUGAGAGCCCCGUAUAGUUAGAUGCCUAGCCUAUGUAAAGCUCCUUCGACGAGUCGAGUAGUUUGGGAAUGCUGCUCUAAAUGGGAGGUAAAUUUCUUCUAAAGCUAAAUAUUGGCCAGAGACCGAUAGCGCACAAGUAGAGUGAUCGAAAGAUGAAAAGCACUUUGAAAAGAGGGUUAAAUAGCACGUGAAAUUGUUGAAAGGGAAGCGCUUGUGACCAGACUUGCGCCGGGCAGAUCAUCCGGUGUUCUCACCGGUGCACUCUGCCCGGCUCAGGCCAGCAUCGGUUCUCGUGGGGGGAUAAAGGUCCCGGGAACGUAGCUCCUCCGGGAGUGUUAUAGCCCGGGGCGUAAUGCCCUCGUGGGGACCGAGGUUCGCGCAUCUGCAAGGAUGCUGGCGUAAUGGUCAUCAGCGACCCGUCUUGAAACACGGACCAAGGAGUCAAGGUUUUGCGCGAGUGUUUGGGUGUAAAACCCGCACGCGUAAUGAAAGUGAACGUAGGUGAGAGCUUCGGCGCAUCAUCGACCGAUCCUGAUGUAUUCGGAUGGAUUUGAGUAAGAGCGUUAAGCCUUGGACCCGAAAGAUGGUGAACUAUGCUUGGAUAGGGUGAAGCCAGAGGAAACUCUGGUGGAGGCUCGCAGCGGUUCUGACGUGCAAAUCGAUCGUCAAAUCUGAGCAUGGGGGCGAAAGACUAAUCGAACCAUCUAGUAGCUGGUUACCGCC
rnacentral:rRNA from 1 species